rnacentral:rRNA from 1 species
UACGUAGGUGGCGAGCGUUGUCCGGAUUUACUGGGCGUAAAGGGCGCGCAGGCGGCGAUCUUUGUCAGACGUGAAAUCCCCCGGCUUAACCUGGGAACUGCGUCUGAUACUGGACGGCUUGAGUAUGGGAGAGGGAUGUAGAAUUCCAGGUGUAGCGGUGAAAUGCGUAGAUAUCUGGAGGAAUACCGGUGGCGAAGGCGGCAUCCUGGACCAUUACUGACACUGAUGAACGAAAGCCAGGGGAGCAAACGGG